rnacentral:rRNA from 1 species
CCUACGGGGGGCAGCAGUGGGGAAUUUUCUGCAAUGGGCGAAAGCCUGACAGAGCAAUACCGCGUGAGGGAAGAAAGCCCACAGGGUUGUAAACCUCUUUUGUCAAGGAAGAAGUUCUGACGUUACUUGACGAAUAAGCAUCGGCUAACUCCGUGCCAGCAGCCGCGGUAAGACGGAGGAUGCAAGUGUUAUCCGGAAUCACUGGGCGUAAAGCGUUUGUAGGUGGUUUAGUAAGUCUAUUGUUAAAGCUUGAAGCUCAACUUCAAAAAUGUAAUAGAAACUACUAGACUUGAGGAUAGUAGGGGUAAAGGGAAUUUCCAGUGGAGCGGUGAAAUGCGUAGAGAUUGGGAGGACCACCGAUGGCGAAGGCACUUUACUGGGCUAUCACUGACACUAAGAGACGAAAGCUAGGGUAGCGAAUGGGAUUAGAUACCCCGGUAGUC